rnacentral:rRNA from 1 species
CCUACGGGGAGCUGCAGUGAGGAAUAGUGGUCAAUGGCCGGAAGGCUGAACCAGCCAAGCCGCGUGAAGGACGAAGGUGCCAAGCAUUGAAAACUUCUUUUGUCAAGGGACAAAAUCAGGCUCGAGAGCCUGACCGAGGGUACUUGAAGAAAAAGCAUCGGCUAACUCCGUGCCAGCAGCCGCGGUAAUACGGAGGAUGCGAGCGUUAUCCGGAUUUCUUGGGUUUAAAGGUAGCGUAGGCGGGCUGUUAAGUCAGCGGUAAAAGCCCGGGGCUCAACCCCGGCGAGCCGUUGAAACUGGCUGUCUUGAGAUGUCGAGAGGUAUGCGGACUGCGCAGUGUAGCGGUGAAAUGCUUAGAUAUUGCGCAGAACUCCGAUUGCGAAGGCAGCAUACCGGCGGCGAUCUGACGCUGAGGCACGAAAGCGUGUGUAUCGAACAGGAUUAGAUACCCCGGUAGUC